CACCGCGGUUAUACGAGGGGCCCUAGUCGAUGGACACGGCGUAAAGAGUGGUUAUGGGACCCUCUUUUAUUAAAAUUGAAAACCCCUUUAACUGUUAUACGCAUUCAGGGACCUUAAUCUCUCUUACGAAGGUAAUUUUAAUAUUGUCAGCCAGAACCCACGAUAGCCAGGACA
rnacentral:rRNA from 1 species